CCUCGCACUGACAUUCAGUCCAUCGCUAGGACCGUAUGGUCAGCUAGAAUGGUACUCGACCUAUGAAAAGAUCUCCACCGAGUUCACAGUAGUUGCUUGUACAAUUAAAAAACCAAGACAAAACUAUACUAGAACAUGAUAUGGUACAUGUACAUAUACAUUUUGUGCCAAAAUUUUCUUGCACUGAACAUGAUCAUGUUUUUUGACCAAACAUAAGAUGCAUGUUUCGCUAAGUUUUAGUAACAUAAUUGUUUUAGGAUUUUUCGAAUUGCACAUAUGUACUAACCUUCAUCAUGCGUUGAGAUCUUCAGGCUGGAGAACUUCCACUCCCUUUUCAUAAUAUUGUUACUCUGUUCUCAACUACAAGGCAUUUGCAGUUACAUGCACAAUCACACCGUAAACACCCACGUGAACACAUCCCCUAAUUACAUGCUUAGAAUUGAUAGGUAAAUGAGAGCAUGUCACUGAAUUUGUACCAAAAUGCACUUGCGUACAUGCAAUUUGAGCACUUGGAUUCGAACCGUGUGGGUGGAGUUAUUCCCUCACAACUUGAUGUGCUGAACUUGUGCUUGUAUGUGUGGAGUACGAUAGAUCGGUUAUUCCAUCGAUGCGUCUCAUGAUCUGUUCUCACUCGAACCUUGUACCUGCAGGUGCCAGACACAGUGGAUGAUAUAACUGCCAGGCUGAGAGAUCUGUAGAGAUCUGCAGAUGUCUACAAACAAUUACGACCGUCCAGUAUAGGCAACUUCACAGCUCUCAGUUGCCAUGAACAACCAACCUACUAUGAAAAACCAUCACUAUACCUUUGACAUGUACGGAAUGAGAACUUCAUAGCAGUGUCAUUUCUGCCAAACUGGCCUUAAACAACCUGAUUAGGUUACACAAAUUGAUGGCUAGGGCAAAGACAUGUACUGUAUUUUAAGCUCGCCCCGUUUCUGAACUUGUAAUUUCGUUUCAGUAUGUACAAUAUAGUGCCGUAUGACAGACUACAUUACAUGUCCUGGAAAUAGGUGUACCUAUCCUUGUUGCCCACAUUAGUAGAGUCCUCCAAGCAAUCUUAAUUCUCCCAUCUUUCUCCAGAGUUGCUAUCCAUGCAGCGGAUUGUAUGAGCAGCUCUUGAUAAUCAUAAAUUAAAGAGGGGAAAAGAACAUAACAUGACUCCUUAUUAUGCAGUCGCACAUAUUUUUAGAGAACUAUAAUGUAAAAAGUAAAAAAAAAUGUUUACAUGACUAUACGGAACAGAAGAAUUGUAGAAAGAAAGGAGAGAAAAACAUCAUCUAGAAUCUGUCACUACAGGUAACGGCCGACGUCAUUCAGCUGAACACGAAUGGAGGUUUAUGGACUAUGUACAUUAUAAUGCGGUGUAUCCAUGGACGGAUUCGUCAAAAAACUAUCUGCAACAACAAUUAAGUCGUCAGAUCAAGUGAUGAAAAGCAUAAGAAGCAACAGGGCAAACAUAAUAUAACUAUUAAAACAAGCAAAUCCUAUUCCAAUCUGAAAGAAGUUAUUAAUCAGGCAAGCAGACUGAAAUUAACUGAAAAUGUCAUUAUGGCUCCAAACCAGAAACAUAAGCCAUGAACUUGGGCAGCUUAAGAAUGAUGCAUGAAGCAAUGGCAUGAAACUGUUCUCCCCACUUGACAACAGAAAGGGAAUUAAAGUAAGGUUGAAAACAUGAGCAGGUACAUUUUGGAACAAUCUACACAAGUAAAUUGUUUCAUCUGCUUGGGAAGAAUAAUUAUAACAUUUAUCAUAAGCCUACACAAAGGUUGCUUUAAGAGGGCAGGCCUGGCGCAGUGGUGAAGUCCUCCCCACUUGUGCCAAGAGGUCCUGGGUUCGAACCAGCCUCUCUGCAUUGCACUUUGCAGGGGUAAGACUAGGUUCCUAUAAUCCCUCCCCAGACCCCACCUUGUGUGGGAGCUUCUAUGCACUGGGUCUGUCCUUCUACACAAAGGUUGCUUUAGAUACACGCGGUUCCAAAUUAAUGCCAGAAAGAAGCAUUUUGGGUAUAGUUUUCCUUGUGAAGGCCUAGGGCAUGGCCGUAUUUGUGAUAUUUCUGCUUGGGACACAUUUUAUUUGGCAGUUUGCUGAUUGAAGCUAACGCUCUUUAGGAAUAGCUAUUCCAGCUGGUGAUCAGGGCUGAGUAUAUAUGGCAAUGCCCUUUAGUUUUAGCACAGUAGAUUAGCUAUUACCUCCUGACAAUUGUACCAGAAAUUAAUAAGCCACGACUAGCUAAUGGAAUCAAAAUGUCAGAAUCCAUCAUCUAUGUAAUGCCUAAAAGAUUGAAACAAGGGUAUGUCUGACAGGACUGACAGAAAUGACUUGGGAAAAUGUAGCAGUUCUCCCUAAUACAUCAUAACUGAUCCAGGUAAAACUAGUCUGUAUAAAGUCUCUCAUUAGGCUCUUGUUAGGUACGUGCUAGAAUAGAUUUGCCAAACACAAAUCUCAGAGCAAAUUAACACAUAGCCGGGUGUUUCAGGAUACAGAGCAGGGAGGGUAAUCGCUUGAUAUCCCAAAAUGUGCAAGAAAAAGAGGCAUGGAAAUAUAGAGAGAAACUGGAGCAGAAGAUUCAGAGCAGAGCACCUGCAUGAAGGAAUGAAUCAGAAGUGAUGAGCCGAAACGAGAUUUUUUCACCCCACAACGAAGGGGCCGAUCUCCCCGGCACGCAUGCCGCGGGCGAUCUCGUUGGCGACCAGCAGGCACGCCGACACCCACCCGGCGAGCACCGCCCACACCAUGUCCACCAUGUACGCCGCCAGCCCCCGCGGCAUGGUCGUCCUUCCCUUGCUGCUCCCCCUAGCCUUAGCCUUCCUUGCUCCGCUGGCGCUGCCACUGCCGCUGCCGCUGCAGUUGCAAAGGAGGCAGGCAGGCAGGCAAUUCCACAAACACCUAGCCUGCAGCUUUGAAGAGACGAAAUGAUGGCCGGGAACCGAAUCAAAGAGGGGAUGAGCGAGUAAAUUGCCCCUUCACCUUGGUGAUGGACCCCCAAGCAGCACGCAACCGACGCCGGAAUCUUGAACGGGGCACGGAGACCGAGUGUUGGCCUUCGCUUUAAGCACCACCUGACGUUGACGUAGGGCAGCGGCACUCGGCGGCUCCUCCAUCCACCAUCGGCUCCUUGAUCAAGAGGCAACUCGGUGGGUGGAUAUUUUCUUCUUGCCAGCCUUGCAUUCCAUGUCCGCAUCGCCUCACAGGGGCAAACGGGGGAUCGCCACGUGGUACCCAAUCAUUUAUCGUUAGAUUUGGUGGUACCAGAUUAGAGAGGAAGGAGGAUUUGGAUUUGGACAAGUGCGUCACAAGUGAUUAGCAAGAGCCCAUCAUUGCGUACAAGCGAGGGGAUCUUGACACUGACAACGACAUUGCCAGUGGUUUUACCAAAACCACAGGCUCAGUCAGCUGCAAAUCCUAGCAAGGUUCCGACGGUGCCAUGGUUUAUGGGACCAUGUCAAUGUUUAGAUUUCGGUCAAGCUUUAAUGGCACACAUGGUGCAUGAGGCUGCUCAUAGAGCAUACCCUCUGUGGUGCACAAUAUCGUAUAUUAUACUCCCUUCAUUUUAAAAUAAGUGUCUCAACCUUAAUAUAACUUUGUACUAAAGUUAGUAUAUAAAGUUGAGACACUUAUUUUGGGACAGAGAAAGUAUCAUCUAUAGCCAGACUCCUCAAACCUCUCAUGUAAGUCCGGGCAGACGCCCCGUCAGUGAAGAAAAUGCGACCCACCCACACCCCCAUCCCUCAAAUCGGCCCUAAACUUGGGUUGUUUGGGCUUGUUGAGCCCCCAAGUCCUUCAAGGGUUUGUGAUUCUGCUGAAAGAAUCGACUGCAAAAGUCAUUGGGUCGCCUAUGGAAAGGCCUUGAUGAACACAAACACUGUGAUACCCAAUUCGCCCGUCUGAGUAGCAGUUGUCCUCAAGAGGAACGUUCUUUCGGUCUUCACCUUCGGAACCAAGUCUCCGGACUAGGGCAUUCAUAAUGUAAAAGAACAUAACAUGAAGUUGCACAUAUGUUUAUGACCCAUUCUUAAGCAGAUGCACAUAUCUUUAGAGAACUAUAAUGUAAAAGGAAAAAUAAAUUCUUCACAAUACUAAUACAGAACAGAAGAAUUGUGGAAAGGAAGGAGAGAAGAAAGCAUCAUCUAGAAUCUCUGUCACUUCUAUUAAUGGCCAAGCCAUUCAGCUCAACACUAAUGGAGAUUUAGGGACUUUGUACAGUAUAAUGCAAUGUGUAUCCAUGGAUGGAUCCGCCAAAAAACUAUCUGCAAUAACAAUGAAGUCGUCAGAUCAAGUGAUGAAAAGCAUAAGAAGCAACAGGGCAAACAUAACUAUUAAAACAAGCAAAUCCUAUUUCAGUCUGAAAGAAGUUAUUAAUCAGGCAAGCUGACUGAAAUUAACUGAAAAUGUCAUUAUGGCUCCAAACCAGAAACAUAACUGCAUAAGCGGUUAAAUUGGGCAGCUUAAGAAUGAUAUCAAGCAAUGGGCAUGAAACCUUUCUUCCCAGUUGAUGACAGAAAGGGAAUUAAAGUAAGGUUAAAAAAAUGACCAAGCACAUUUGCAACAAUCUACACAAGUAAAUUGUUUCAUUUGAUUCGGAAGAAUAAUAAAAAUGUUGAUCAUAUAUAAGCCUACACAAGCUAAUUAAUGAUCUUCGUGAGUAGCUAUUCCAGCUGGUGCCACUGAGACGGUGAAGAUUUCAAAAGCAUCACAGGGAAAGUUUCAUUCAGGAUUCAGGCUGAUCGAGGCUGGGUAUGGCCAUACCAUUCAAUUUUAGUACAAUACAGACCUACAGAAUGACACCCUUUAAAAUGGAAACAAUAAAACUUUGAACGCAGAAAAUUCUUUGAAAAGUUGUAACAUUUAUAGCCAUGGAAGUAACUAUUACCUCUUCAAAAUUGUAUCAGAAAUUAAUAAACCAUGACUAAUGGAAACAAAAUGUCAGAAUCCAUCAUCUAUGUAAUGCCUAAAAGAUUGAACCGCAGAAACAAGGGCACGUCUAUGUCUGACAGGACUAAUAUAAGCGACUUUGGAAAAUGUAUGAGUUCUCCCCAAUACACCAUAACUGAUCCAUGUAAAACUACUCCGCAUAAAGUCUCUCAUUAGCUUCUUGUUAGGUACUACUAGAAUAGAUUUUCCAAACGUAAAUGUCCGAGUAAACUAACACAUAGCCUGUUAUUUCAAGAUACAGAGCAGAUACUGCUAAUCAACAAAGGUAUCCACGAUCGCUUGGUAUCACAAAUUGUGCAAGAAAAAACAAGACAUAAUAUGACACCAUAGUUCUCUCUUAGAGAGGAAGCACCGAGUUAUUACUAGCAAAGAAACUAAGAGCAGAAGGUUGAGAGCAGAGCAC
rnacentral:lncRNA from 1 species